rnacentral:rRNA from 1 species
GACGAACGCUGGCGGCGUGCCUAAUACAUGCAAGUCGAACGGUAACAGGCCGCAAGGUGCUGACGAGUGGCGAACGGGUGAGUAAUGCAUCGGAACGUGCCCAGUCGUGGGGGAUAACGCAGCGAAAGUUGCGCUAAUACCGCAUACGAUCUAUGGAUGAAAGAGGGGGACCGUAAGGCCUCGCGCGAUUGGAGCGGCCGAUGUCAGAUUAGGUAGUUGGUGGGGGAAAGGCGCACCAAGACGACGAUCUGUAGGUGGUCUGAGAGGACGACCAGCCACACUGGGACUGAGACACGGCCCAGACUCCUACGGGAGGCAGCAGUGGGGAAUUUUGGACAAUGGGCGCAAGCCUGAUCCAGCAAUGCCGCGUGCAGGAAGAAGGCCUUCGGGUUGUAAACUGCUUUUGUACGGAACGAAACGGUCCUGGUUAAUACCCGGGGCUAAUGACGGUACCGUAAGAAUAAGCACCGGCUAACUACGUGCCAGCAGCCGCGGUAACAC